rnacentral:lncRNA from 1 species
GUGUGUGUGGUCGAUCGCACAAGGCAGAGGGAAAGGGGUAAACCCUAAUUCUCAAGAAAUCUCCAAAUUGAAAAGGGAAUUGAAGGUUUUUAGGAUGCAUGUAUCAAGAUUAUCGAUCUCCUAAGUGUUCUUCACUAUCAAGAACGUGUCAAGGAGAGGUCAAGCAUAGGAGGAUAACGGGUCAAGAUAAGGCAAGGUGACAAAUACACUUAAUGGAGUACUCGAGGUAAGUGAAUUUCGAUUCACUUUUUAGUAGGUUUAAUAGAUUUUAAUACUUAUGUUUACGAAACAUCAUGAAAGAACAUGUAAUAAUCAGAAGUACAAAGCCAAUAAUGCCUCAUUAUUGAGGAAGGUUGUAUUUAAGCCGAAAGUAAAUUGGUGGGUUUAAACGGGUCGAAUUUUAUGUGCAUAUGUUGCGUAAUGUAAUGAAAUUCGUUAUGGUUAAGACCUUGGGUAGGAAUUUUUAGUCAUUAUGUAAGGGGAACACUUCCCGGACCAUUAGGAACAAGUUUUAUAUGAUUCGGUUGUCGGUUAGUUAAUGAACGGAUUGUUUCAUGUUAGUGUAGGAAAUUUUAUAAGUAUAUGUGUAUAGGAACCCAAAGGGCACGUGGGUUGAAUCAUAGAUUGUCUAUACUAUGUAAAGUUGUGAAUGUGACAUUCCGGCAUAAACCUACAUGUAAAAGAAGCUUGUGUAUAUAUUCGUGAUUAAUUGAUUGUGCGUAGGAAGGAACAUUGGCAUGUAUGAAGGUACGCAUGUAUAUGUAAGUGUGUAUAUAUACAUAUAUGUAUGUAUGUAUGAUAAUAAGUACGUAGGUGUGAAUGUAUGUGUGAAUGAAUGUUCAAUGCUUAAGACAUAUGCAUGAACGUUAUCAAAGUGUUCGAGUAUUUAUGGUUACUAAUGAUGUGCGUCGAGUUGGAAUGUAAUGUAGGUAUGGGAUCGUCGGCUUCAUGAAGAAAUGGAGCUGGAUUUGGAUAAGAGUAUUUAAGAAAGCGCUUGGACAAUUCCACGACUACUUUAUAGAAUGCUCUACGAAAUUCUAUUAUAUAGUUUAAUGUUGUAUGGUAUGUUAAUGACUAAUGGUUUGGUUGUACGUGGUGUCCACAGGUAUCGCUUGGGUUUUCUCUACAUUUAUUGAAGUGAAGCGGACUUAGUUCGAGUUGAGAGCAAGGAUUGUACGGGGUAGAAUGGUCACAUAGUGUAACUCAUAUAGAUUUUGAAGUAUUAAUGUUAUAAAUCCGUUUUAAUGAAUAUAUGGCUUUUCGCAUUUGAACCUUCAUGUGUUUGAUAUGUCUAUUAAAGAACGAAAUUUUUGGGCUCU